CACGUAGGGGGCAAGCGUUGUCCGGAUUUAUUGGGCGUAAAGAGCUCGUAGGCGGUUUGUUGCGUCGGCUGUGAAAACCUGAGGCUCAACCUCAGGCCUGCAGUCGAUACGAGCAGACUAGAGUGUUGCAGGGGAGACUGGAAUUCCUGGUGUAGCGGUGAAAUGCGCAGAUAUCAGGAGGAACACCUGCGGCGAAGGCGGGUUGCUGGGCUGACACUGACGCUGAUGUGCGAAAGCUAGGGGAGCGAACGGG
rnacentral:rRNA from 1 species